AUACUACCAAAGACUAGGUACUAAAAGGUCUAUCGGUGUCUGGAAUUAUGCAAAGAUAGGAAUUAUAGAACGAGAAAUGUGGUUGCCCCACCGUAAUGCUGUCAUAAGACAUAAUUGUUUACAAUCUCCAAUAAAAGACGACAAUGAAAGAUAUGCAGCUAACCGUAAAACGCUGCCACCUGGCCCGCAAGAUGUGUAUUACCUGUGUCUGAAAAGCCCUUGUUUUGUGGAUUAUCGAAAGCCAACACACCCUUUGAAACAUAUAACAUCCGACCUUUCUGACAGCUAUGAAGCAUCACAGGACACCAAAGGUGAAACCACAACAGAGAGUCAGGAAAAAGUAGUCUCUACUGAAGAGAAGUGGAAUGAUGAGGACGGAGAAGACC
ensembl:lncRNA